CAAACGACUCUCGGCAACGGAUAUCUCGGCUCACGCGUCGAUGAAGAACGUAGCAAAAUGCGAUACUUGGUGUGAAUUGCAGAAUCCCGUGAACCAUCGAGUUUUUGAACGCAAGUUGCGCCCGAAGCCAUUCGACUGAGGGCACGUCUGCCUGGGCGUCACGC
rnacentral:rRNA from 1 species